rnacentral:lncRNA from 1 species
ACAAAUCCAUCACCCAACUCGUAACUCAGCAAUCAGUGGAGCUUUUCCCUUCUUCAAUUCUUUUCAACAACAAGCUUAUCAUUUUUCUUCUUUCACGGAAGGUUUCUGCUUCUGUAUUUUUACAGAAAGCCUGCAUUGAUCUCAUCUAUGAUAAUCCACACAGACAACAACCCACAAAAUCCUUGAGAAAAGGUUUGAUCUUACACCCAUCUAUUCAUGACUUAUAUACUCUUUUCACUACUUCACAAAGAAGACAAUCACGGAUGGCACAUACAUAUUUCAUAUACAGAAUCAACACUAACAAGGAUUUCACUUUUCACUCAUAAGAACAAAACAUGUAUUGAAAUUUGUAGAUUUAUUUACACACCUGCAAAUCUUGUCUUAUAAUUGAGAUCAUUAAAGAGAUGGAAUAAAAAGAAGAAGCUUUUUGUGUAUAUGUUGGUGUGUGUACUGCUGUGUGCGUGAGUCUUAGAGGGGCUGUGUCGUCGUCCGAACUGAGGGAGAACGGAGGAGGGAGAGGGGAUUGGCGACGGCGGCGGUGGCCUGAUGCUCCUGCUGCCCGUCGAUCCAGAGAGGGUGAGAGUGGCGGUGGCGGGUAGCUACUGCUGCUGCUCUCCGGCUGAAACAGAGGGAGUGGGGCGACGAUGUCAGAGAGAAUGAGGGAGGCGGCGAUGGCGGUGGUCCGGCUGACCGCUGUUUUCGGCUGAAGCAGAGGGGGCGGUUCCGGCGGUUACGUCGCCGGAAAUCGAAGGAAAGAGAACCUAGGGUUGCUGAUUUGGGAAAUUUUUGUGAGGGAAGAGAUAAGGGGGACGAGCGAGAGAGCGAAAGUCGGGAGAAGGAAGGAAAGUCAGAGGGAGCGGCGGCGGCGGCACUCGCCGGCCGUCUGUCGACGGGAAAUUGAGAGAAAAGGGGGAGAGUUUCAUUAGCUACUUCAUCUGGUUCAGUUUUGAGAAUGAAAGAACGGGGUUUGAGUGAUUUUGAUGAGGGGAAGAAGGUGGUGGUGGCAGCUGGUGGCGAUUUCGCCGGGAAUGGAAGGCGGCGGCGUCGACAGGAGAGAAGAGGAAAAGAGAGAGAGACCGAAGGGGAGAGUGAGAGAGUGUCUGUGUGUGUACGUUGAGAAAAAGGAGAAGAAAGGAGAGAUUGAAGAAGGUGAGUUGGGCUCUAGCUUUGGGCCUUUAAUUUUAUUAAGUGGGCUGCAUUUUUUAUAACUUGGGCUUCAUGCAUAUAUUUCUAUUGGGCUGCAUGUUUAUUUGUUUGGUUAUAUGUUUUAAUUAUAAGUUAAAGUCUUACAAAUAUUUGUAAGCAAAAUAUUUUUAAGUUGAUUUUAUGCUCAAGAUGAGUUUUUAAGUAAAAGCCGAGCAAGGAUAUUAUUGAAAUCCUUAGCCAAGAAAAAUGAUUUUCAAGUUUUAUGUUGAAUUUUUGAAAAUCCGGGUGUUGCGAAUCUAGUUAGAAAUGAUGACAAGUCAUGAAGGUUAAGCUUGAUUUUAGGACUAUGAGUUUAAGUUGAGAACUUAUCUUGUAGGUCCUACAGAAGAGGAUAUUUAGGCUCUUGUUCAGCUGAGUUAUUUGUUUGGAUUUUCUCCAAAUCAGGUGAGGCUUUAUUUACGAAAUGUAUGUUUGAGCUAAUAAGCUCGGUUUUAUGUAAAGUUAAAGAUGAUGGUUCAUGCUUAAAAUGUUUUUGCUCUCUAUUGGUUACUGCUUCUACCAGAACAUUGUUGGCUCCGCCAACCAGAACAUUGUUAGCUCUGCUAACCAGAAUUGUGUACGUACACCAGAACCUGUUGUCUCGAGAGAUCGGUGACAACCAGUUGUAGAUAGCAUGCCCAAUAGAUGGCCAGGAAAAUAUGAGCUCAGAUUAUUUUAGUAUGCAUGGAAUGACUCGUCUUUAAAAACAUUCUGUGUUAUACUGUUUAAAGGCAUGAAUUAUCUUUUUCAGUAAAUGAUUUUUAAAAUGUUUUUAAAUGGCUCAACCCACUGAGUACACUAGUACUCAGCCCUGCAAUUGUUUUCAAAACCUUUUGCAGAUUGAGCAGCUGGUGGUGACGUGCGAGGCUGAGGAAGGGUUGUUGCUGUGGAUUCUGAAGAAAUACUGCGUUUACUUCUCCUAAAAUAAAUUCACUUAGUGAAUAUUAUCUGAUGCCUAAUUAUAUUAAUACUUUUAUUCAUAUUUCUAAUAUGAAUUUCAUUCUCCAUCACUUUUCUAGCGAUUGUUUUUCGCAUCUAUUAUAUGCUUAGUAUGAGACGUUGUUUUGGUCUCAGACCUUCGAACUUCCGAUCCUGAUAGGGAGAAUAAUUAUGUUAUAAUGUCGUACUUGUUUUCAUUUAAAUACGGCAUAAUGUCCAACCCUCAGGGCACAUUACCUAUUUUAUUCAAGUAAAGCUUAGUAGUCCUGUCACAUAGCCCAUUUCUUAUUCUCCCGGGAAAUCAGGGCUGUCACA